rnacentral:rRNA from 1 species
CCAAUAGCGUAUAUUAAAGUUGCUGCAGUUAAAAAGCUCGUAGUUGAAUUUCGGGACUAAUAUGUUGGUCGUGCCUCGGUACGUACUGAUAUUUUUGGUUUCUCCCUUCUGACGAACCUUGAUGUCAUUAAUUUGGUGUCUUGGGAAAUCAGGACUGUUACUUUGAAAAAAUUAGAGUGUUUAAAGCAGGCUCACGCUUGAAUACAUUAGCAUGGAAUAAUGAAAUAGGACGUUUGAUUCUAUUUUGUUGGUUUCUAGGAUCGACGUAAUGAUUAAUAGGGAUAGUUGGGGUCAUUAGUAUUCAAUUGUCAGAGGUGAAAUUCUUGGAUUUAUUGAAGACUAACUACUGCGAAAGCAUUUGCCAAGGAUGUUUUCAUUAAUCAAGAACGAAAGUUAGGGGAUCGAAGACGAUCAGAUACCGUCGUAGUCUUAACCAUAAACUAUGCCGACUAGGGAUCGGAUGAUGUUAAUUUUUUAAUGACUCAUUCGGCGCCUUACG